UUCUUGAAAUGGUUAGAUGAAAACGUGAUUCAUCCACAAAUAUUUUUGCCCUGGUGGUAGCUCCGAGACUGGAGAGGAGCUACAUUCAUCCAUAAAUUUUCCCUCUUACGUCUGAGGUGCUUCAAAAGAGACAUACAGGGCCUGGAGUGUUUCUCUGACAUCUACAAGAGGAUCAGUGUUCAGCAACCACCACCUUGAGAUGUCAAAACAGUAACCGGAUAGCCACAGUCAGGAAAGACUAGCAUGCUUUUAGGACUGCUAAAUUAUAUAAUUAGGAUCAUCUUUUUGGGGACAUGACCAUGAAGUGACAACAGAAUCAUCCUUUCACAGCCAGACUCCUGUCUUAAAGGACAUCCAGGUAAGCAAAG
rnacentral:lncRNA from 1 species